UACGGAGGGGGCUAGCGUUGUUCGGAAUUACUGGGCGUAAAGCGCACGUAGGCGGAUAGUUAAGUUAGAGGUGAAAGCCCAGGGCUCAACCCUGGAACUGCCUUUAAUACUGGCUGUCUAGAGAUCGAGAGAGGUGAGUGGAAUUCCGAGUGUAGAGGUGAAAUUCGUAGAUAUUCGCAAGAACACCAGUGGCGAAGGCGGCUCACUGGCCCGGUACUGACGCUGAGGUGCGAAAGCGUGGGGAGCAAACAGG
rnacentral:rRNA from 1 species